GACGAACGCUGGCGGCGUGCUUAACACAUGCAAGUCGAACGAUGACGACCGAGCUUGCUCGGUCUGAUUAGUGGCGAACGGGUGAGUAACACGUGAGCAACCUGCCCUUCACUCUGGGAUAACCUCGGGAAAUCGGGGCUAAUACCGGAUAUGAGCUCCUGUCGCAUGGCGGGUGUUGGAAAGUUUUUCGGUGAAGGAUGGGCUCGCGGCCUAUCAGUUUGUUGGUGAGGUAGUGGCUCACCAAGGCGAUGACGGGUAGCCGGCCUGAGGGGGCGACCGGCCCACUUGGGAUUGAGACACGGCCCAGACUCCUCCGGGAGGAAGAAGUGGGGACUAUUGCACAAUGGGCGAAGGCCUGAUGCAGCGCCGCCGCGUGGGGGAUGACGGCCUUCGGGUUGUAAACCUCUUUCAGCAGGGAAGAAGCGAAAGUGACGGUACCUGCAGAAGAAGCGCCGGCUAACUACGU
rnacentral:rRNA from 1 species